AUAAAAUGUAAACUCUGCCGACACUUUUGUUUUCACAGACAAAAAAAAAUCAGAUUAGGAAAGCGUCGACUGGAUCUUUAACAUAGAUCCUGCAAUUGUUGAAGAGAAAAAAAAAAGAAAAUGUAACAAAAAUAGCAAUCCUUCUUCUUCCUCUUCUUCGCUCCUCCUCUCAGACGGAGGACCAGGUGACGCGUGGACUCCUUUUGGAUGUUGUAGUCGGCGAGAUUGCUUCCAUCCUCGAGCCGUUUCCCGGCGAAAAGGAGGCGCUGCUGCUCCGAUGGGAUUCCUUCUUUGUCUUCUAUCUCGAUUUGACGUUCUCGUAGGUGUCAGAGGAACCGACCUGGAGGGUUAUCGUCUUCUCCGUUAGGGUUUUCACGAAGAUCUGGAUCCUUUUCUGCGACGGGGAACAAACAGUAGAAAUAGAAGAAAGAGAAAAAAAUCGAGAUAGAAUGUCUUGUUCAUCUCUGUAUUAAAAGAUAUCUUUGAGAAAGUGAAAAGAAGACUUGAAAGACAACGAAACGGUAAAUGGAGACAGAAGCAGCGAGAAGUUAGAUAAAUCUAUGGAACAGAGGAUGGAAGGAGCAGAGAAGAAACAGAGACAGAUGAUGUCUUUGAUGGAGGAUUUGACCACACCCUAUAUCUGCAGAUAAUAAUUUUUUUUUAUAUUUGCCAAACUCUAACAUCAAUGAUGAUCUUUAAAAAAAACUUUAUUUUUUUUCCAUUUCAGAGCUGAAGGCAAAAUUUUGAAAAGAAAGAUGAGUCAGAGUCUUCAAAGCAGUUAGAAACUUCUGUGAAAUCCUUAACACGAAGAUAUCAUGUUGAGCAGUAGAAAGCGUUCGUGUGCGAAAUAAAAGGUCCACUAUGUGGAUGAUAAAGCAUUAAAGGAUUCCUGAAGGAUUUUUGAAACUGUUGUUGUUGUUGGGCUUCGUCCUAAUUAUGAUAUUCAAGCACUUGAAAGUCAGUCCGCCCUUUUUCAGACUUGGAAAUCCGAAAGCUCUACCGGGAGAUUGCUUAGUGCACUUCAAGUCUCUCUCAAACCUCAGAACAAAGCUGACAGUUAAAUAAUGAUGAAAGACAUGAGGCAAAAUCAAACAAAAACCUUCUAGUACACAGAUAAGUCUCGUACUAUAGAUUUAUUUGGUUGAGUUAAAAUGAGAAAUGGUAUAUGCUUUACAUUUUAGUGAGCUGACUUAGCUAAGAAUACAAUUGUGGUACAGGUGGUGCAUUUAGGAUUGCUUACAUUGUGAGCACCAAGAUAAACAUGUUGAAGGAUUGAAGGAGCAGAUAAGAAGCAUAGACAGAUGAUGUCUUUCUCUUAAAGCGUCCAUGUUGUUGACAGAACCCCAUUCAUGAGCGAGUUGAAUGAAAUAAUUCUCAGUCAGGAACAUCUUAAGCCUUGUGACCUAUCACAAAGAGUCCAAAGGCGAUGUGAAUCAAUCAAAGACUACAGACUUCAUUCCUUUAUGAACUAUCUAUCUACAAUACACAGAUAAGUUUCCGACUAUAGCUUUAAUUUUCGGGAUUAUACAUGAGAAUAGGUAUAUGUUUUAUACUUAGUGAGUUGACUGUAUAGAUACAAUUCAUGUACAUGUCUUCAUUAAAAGGUAUAGAGACAAAAGUUUUAUACAUUUGAAGGUUUAGUACCAAUUAGAAACUUAUCAUCAAGUGUUCCGGAUAGAACUGUCUGGAAAUCGAUCAAGUUAAGAUACAAAUCAUCAUUCACGAAACUGGACCGAGUAACGACAGUAGAUUGAUUAAAUACAAUCUUGCAGGGGUUAUUGGUUGUGCGGAAAGCUCCUCUUGCAGGCCUAACAUGCAAGUUGCGGAUGUUGCACCACACUCCAACCAGAAGAUCACUGCCUUUACUCUCAAUGUAUAUGAUUUGAAAAAGUUUUGCAAGACAAAGAUUUGAAGGAGAAGAGGUUCAAAGUGAAUGAAAUGGUAUAUUUGGUGAUGGGCUGGGAUUAUAAUUAGUAUGGGCUGAGAUAUUUAAUUGAAUAAGCAGAUGAUAUAUUUGGUGAUGGAUUUGUGUGUAGAUUACAUUUGAUUUUUUUUUAUAGGCUGAUGGGCUUUGUAAAUUUCGAUUUUUUUUUCCAUAGGAUAGGCUGAUGGGCUUUGUAAUUGAACGAAAAUGUUUUAAAAAAAAGAAGAAGAAGACA